UGAGGAAUAUUGGUCAAUGGGCGCAAGCCUGAACCAGCCAUCCCGCGUGCAGGAAGACGGCGCUAUGCGUUGUAAACUGCUUUUCCAGGGGGAGAAACUUGCGCACGUGUUGCGCAAUUGACGGUACCCUGGGAAUAAGCAUCGGCUAACUCCGUGCCAGCAGCCGCGGUAAUACGGAGGAUGCGAGCGUUAUCCGGAUUCAUUGGGUUUAAAGGGUGCGUAGGCGGACUAUUAAGUCAGUGGUGAAAUCCUGCAGCUUAACUGCAGAACUGCCAUUGAUACUGAUAGCCUUGAGUUUGGUUAAGGUAGGCGGAAUGUGUAAUGUAGCGGUGAAAUGCUUAGAUAUUGCACAGAACACCAAUUGCGUAGGCAGCCUACUGAGCCGACACUGACGCUGAGGCACGAAAGCGUGGGGAUCGAACAG
rnacentral:rRNA from 1 species